AUUGAACGCUGGCGGCAUGCCUUACACAUGCAAGUCGAACGGUAACAGGUUAAGCUGACGAGUGGCGAACGGGUGAGUAAUGUAUCGGAACGUGCCCAGUCGUGGGGGAUAACUACUCGAAAGAGUGGCUAAUACCGCAUACGACCUGAGGGUGAAAGCGGGGGACCGUAAGGCCUCGCGCGAUUGGAGCGGCCGAUAUCAGAUUAGCUAGUUGGUGGGGUAAAAGCCCACCAAGGCGACGAUCUGUAGCUGGUCUGAGAGGACGACCAGCCACACUGGGACUGAGGAACGGCCCGGACUCCUACGGGAGGCAGCAGUGGGGAAUUUUGGACAAUGGACGCAAGUCUGAUCCAGCCAUGCCGCGUGCGGGAAGAAGGCCUUCGGGUUGUAAACCGCUUUUGUCAGUGAAGAAACGAGUUUCUCUAAUACAGAGACUUAAUGACGGUACCUGAAGAAUAAGCACCGGCUAACUACGUGCCAGCCGCCGCCGUAACAC
rnacentral:rRNA from 1 species